ensembl:lncRNA
GUGAGGUAGGUCUUGGCCUCUUCUCCUGCAUAACUAGUCUUGACAGAAUGGCAUCAAAUUGUGCCAGGGGAGAUUCAGGCUGGAUGUUAGGAAAAGGUUCUUCUCCAAAAGAGUGUUUAGACACUGGAAUGGGCUUCCCAGGGAAGUGCUGGAGACACUGUCCCUGGAGGUGUUCAAGAAAUGUUCAGAUGUUGCACUGAGGGACAUGGUGAUAUUGGUGAUAGGUGGACUAUUGAACUGGAUGAUCUUGGAGGUCUUUUCCAACCUGGACUAAGAAUGAAAAGCUUCCACAUACUGUGCCAUUGUGUUCAGGACAUUAUAUAAUCAUGAAAAAUGAUGUAACACAAUAAAUAUAAUUUUGGUUAUUAGGAAAACCUUAUUUAUAUCAAGAUCUGUGCUUUAUCAUAGUUUUCUAAAGUGUAUGGUGAGAGCAAAUCUUUUUUGCAGCAAAAGUGCAAGAAAAUAUUGUUAAAUAAAAGCUGCCUAUGGAAAAUCACCAGCACAAUUUAGCCAUUAAUUGAGAAGACUAUGACACUGCCAGUUCUGACCUUUGAGUGCUUUGUAGCAUGGGGUAGAUCUGCUCAGAACUUCAGACCCUCCACUGUAAGAUGGUAAGAGUGUUAUUCACAUUUUCUCCUCAGCAUCCAGAUAUUUAAAUAAGAAAAUACAAUCAUAGAAUCACAGAAUAGCUCAGGUUGGAAAAGACCUUCAAGUUCAUCAAGUCUAACCGCAACCUAACCAUACUGUCCUAACUCUAACAACCCACUACAAAAUCAUGUCCCUGAGCAAGACAUCCAAAUGGUUUUAAACACAUUCAGGGAUGGUGACUCAACCACCUCCCUGGGGAGCCUAUUCCAGUGCUUAACCACCCCUGCUGUAAAGAAGUUUUUCCUGAUAUCCAACCUAAGCUUACCCUGGCACAGCUUGAGGCCAUUUCCCCUCGUCCUGUCACCUGUCACAAGUGAGAAGAGACCAACCCCACUCACGCUAUAAUCACCUUUCAGGUAUUUGAAGAGAUCAAUAAGGUCUCCCCUCAGCCUCCUCUUCCCC